GGCAGUGAUGGCUUAGUGGUCAGGGUUCUGGGUUACUGAUCGGAAGGUCGUAGGUCCAAGCCCCAGCACUGCCA